CAUUAUCUUCAUUCUCAGGCCAGAAUACUCUGUCAAACUGCAAAUGAAGAGUUGGAGGUGACACUCAGAAAGGCUUUUAUCUCAGUAGAUUUAGCACAUUCUCAUUGUGGUUAUGUCCACUGUGGUCGGAUGGUCCGCUAUCUUUCUCUGCUUGGUACAUCCGCGUGUCACCACGCCCACCCUCCAGCCUGCAGACACUCAUACUUGGGCUGGCUGCCCCUCGGCCACAUGUGACAGCGUACAGGCUGAAUCAGAGACCUUCGGUUGGAGCUACAGCCAACCUACACCGGGCUUUCCUUCCAAGGCUAACCGAGAGCACCGCCGGUAGUUGGAUAAAAGCCACGACGCAGCUCUUCCUAAAUCUCAGCGGUGAAGAGAAUGGUAGAAUGUCCCAGAAACCCUGGAUAGAAAGCACUUUCACAAAGAGGGAAUGUGUGUACAUACUUCCAGUGUCAAAGGACCCCCACAGAUGCCUUCCAGGAUGCCAGAUUUGCCAACAGCUGGUCCGGUGCUGCUGUGGGCGGCUGGUCCGGCAGCAUGUUGGCGUCACAGCCAGCUUGGCCACGAAGUACUCGGGUGUGAAGUUGGGUGAAAACCCCAACCUGCCCGCGAUGGAGAAGUGGUCGGUGGAAAAACACACAGAGGCGAGCCCCUGUGACGCCUAUGGUGUCAUCAACUUCCAGGGAGGGUCUCACUCAUACAGAGCCAAGUAUGUGCGUUUGUCCCACGACUCGCGGCCGGAGAGCAUCCUGUGGCUGAUGCUGAAGGAGUGGCAGAUGGAGCCUCCUAAAAUCGUAAUCUCUGUCCAUGGAGGAGUUCAGAACUUUGAGCUGCAUCCUCACAUCAAGCAGGUUGUGGGCAAGGGCCUCGUCAAAGCUGCAGUCACCACCGGGGCCUGGAUUCUCACCGGAGGGGUCAACACAGGUGUGGCGAAGCAUGUGGGAGACGCUCUCAAAGAACACUGUUCAAGAUCAUCAAAGAAAAUUUGCACUAUCGGGAUCGCACCCUGGGGAGUCAUUGAAAACAGGAAUGAUCUCCUCGGCAGAGACAUUAUAGCUCCUUAUCAGACGCUGCAGAACCCGCUGAGCAAACUAAAUGUUCUUCAUGAUCUGCAUUCUCAUUUCCUCCUGGUGGAUGAUGGGACGGUGGGCAAGUACGGCGCCGAGGUCAACCUGCGGCGGGAGCUUGAGAAGCACAUCAACCUCCAAAGAAUACAUGCACGAAUCGGUCAGGGUGUUCCCGUCGUGGCCGUCAUCUUUGAGGGGGGUCCCAGUGUGAUCCUGACCGUGCUGGAGUACCUUCAGGAGAGCCCUCCCGUCCCAGUGGUGGUGUGUGAGGGGACCGGCCUCGCUGCUGAUAUACUAGCCUACGUCCACAAGCAGACAGAGGAGGGAGGAAGACUUCCUGACGGAGUGGAGACCGACAUUAUCGCAACCAUUAAGAAAACCUUCAACUUUAGUCAGCGCGAUGCCAUCGACCUCUUUCAGACUUUGAUGGAGUGCAUGAAGAGCAAAGAACUGUUAAAUGUGUUCCGCGUCAGCUCCGAGGAACACCAGGACCUCGACGUAGCAAUUCUGAGGGCUUCACUCCAAGGCACAAAUGCGACUGCCUUCGGUCAGCUGGUCCUGACUCUGGCCUGGGAUCGGGUAGACAUUGCCAAGAAUCAUGUGUUUGUGUACAGACAGCAGCUCCUGGUGAGCUCUUUGGAGCAAGCAAUGCUGGAAGCGCUCGUGAUGGACAGGGUGGAUUUUGUCAAGCUGCUCAUGGAAAACGGUGUGAGCAUGCACAGCUUCUUGACAAUCAGUCGGCUGGAGGAGCUCUACAACACGAAACAACCAAGCAGCAACCCAACUCUCCUGCAACUGGUUAGAGACAUCAAACAGAGUCAUCUGCCUCCAAACUAUAAUAUCACUUUGAUUGAUGUGGGUUUGGUUAUUGAGUACCUGAUGGGCGGGACUUACAGGUGCAACUACACCAGGAAACACUUCAGAAUUAUUUACAACAAUCUCCACGGCAGCAACAGGCUUGAGUCUACUGUCGAGCAGAACAGAAAGAGAAGCAAAGAAGUGAUUGUGGACAUAGACGACCCAGAAGCGCAGCGGUUUCCCUACCCUUUCAAUGAGCUGCUGGUGUGGGCUGUGCUGAUGAAGAGGCAGAAAAUGUCGCUCUUCUUCUGGCAGCACGGCGAGGAGAACAUGGCAAAGGCACUGGUGGCCCGUAAGCUCUGCCGGUCUCUGGGCUACGAGGCCAAGAAGAGUGACAUGGUGGACGACACCUCGGAGGAGCUCAAGAAGUACUCGAAUGAUUUUGGCACAUUGGCGGUGGACCUGCUGGAGCAGUCGUUCAGGCAGGAUGAGGCCAUGGCUAUGAAGCUGCUCACCUAUGAGCUGAAGAACUGGAGCAACUCCACCUGCUUGAAGCUGGCCGUCUCCUCCCACCUGCGGCCAUUUGUGGCUCACACCUGCACCCAGAUGCUGCUGUCAGAUAUGUGGAUGGGAAGGCUGAACAUGCGCAAGAACUCCUGGUACAAGGUGAUUCUGAGUGUGUUGGUGCCUCCUGCCAUCCUACUGUUGGAGUACAAGUCCAAGGCUGAGAUGGCUCACAUCCCUCAGAGCCAGGACGACCACCAGAUGACCAUGGAGGACAGCAAACACAACUUCCAGAACAUAGCUGAAGUCAUCCAAAUGGAUGUAUUCAAAGAGGCCAGAUCCCACGACCACGUAGAAGCAAAGAGCGAAACAGAGACACACAUUCACUCCAGGAACCUGCCCUUAACCAGGAAAAUUUAUGCCUUCUACCACGCUCCCAUUGUCAAGUUCUGUUCCAACACGCUCUUCUACCUGGGCUUCUUGAUGUUCUACUCGUAUGUGGUCCUGGUGAAAAUGCCUGAAUGGCCUUCUCCUCAAGAGUGGGUGGUCAUCCUCUACAUAUUCACCUCUGCCAUUGAGAAAAUUCAAGAGAUGUUUAUGUCUGAAGCAGGCAAAAUAAGCCAGAAGAUAAAGGUGUGGUUCAGUGACUAUUUCAAUUUGUCUGACUUUCUGGCCAUCGUGACCUUCUUUAUUGGCUUCGGCCUGAGAAUGACUGGAGGAGAAGCCUUUGUCCCCGGGAGGACGGUGUAUUGUCUCAAUAUCAUCUUCUGGUACGUGCGACUCAUGGAUAUCCUGGCUGUGAACCAUCAAGCUGGACCGUACGUCAUGAUGAUCGCUAAAAUGGUGGCCAACAUGUUUUAUGUUGUACUAAUAAUGGCCAUAGUCCUGCUGAGCUAUGGCAUACCCAGGAAAGCCAUUCUGUACCCACAUGAGGAGCCCAGCUGGACGCUGGUCAGAGAUGUGGUCUUCCAGCCGUACUGGAUGAUGUACGGGGAAGUAUAUGCUUAUGAAAUCGAUGUGUGUGCCAAUAACAGUGAGAGCUCAGUAAAGACCCUGUGUGUGGCAGGAGUGUGGCUGACUCCUCUGCUGCAAGCAGUCUACCUCUUUGUACAGUAUAUCCUAAUGGUCAACCUCCUCAUCGCCCUCUUCAACAAUGUGUAUUUGCAAGUGAAGUCCAUUUCUAAUCUGGUUUGGAAGUACCAGCGUUACCACUUCAUUAUGGCCUACCAUGAGAAGCCUGUCCUCCCGCCGCCCUUCAACCUGCUCUGCCAUAUCUACUCCCUCUUCUCUAUGUGUAGGAAGAGGAAGAAGGAGAAUACCUACGGAGCAAAGCUGUUGCUCACAGUGGAGGACCAAAAGAAGCUUCACGAUUUUGAGGAGCAGUGUGUAGAGACUUACUUUGGUGAAAAGGAUGAUCAGUUUCAUUCGGGGAGUGAAGAGUGCAUACGUCUGACCUCAGAAAGGGUUGAGACUAUGUGUAUGCAGCUAAGAGACGUAGGGAACAAGUUCAACUUUAUAACACGCUCUUUGCACACUCUGGACUCUCAGAUCGGUCACCUGCAGGACCUAUUUGCUCCAACCGUGGACAAUCUAAAGACCCUCACUGCUCAGAGGGCUUCAGAGGCCAGCAAGGUCCACAAUCAGUUCACCAGGGAGCUCAGCCUGUCAAAAAACGUGGUCCUCAGCACCAGCCCCAGCGCCUUUGUCCAAACUGCUGUGGCCAUUUCCCCUCCGGAGCUGCGUCUCCGAGGCCACUCACUCACCCAGAUUAAGCUGACCCGUCGGGGCCUUUGCAACUCCCCAUCCAGCCUGCCCAAUGUGCCCUCCCCCAGGGCUCAGGUCCACAUCAGCAGCACCCCUUCCCAGCCCAGUGGCUCCAGCCACCCAGAACUCGCCCUCACUGGGCUUUACCAGCAGCCCCUCAAGCCAGACAGUACCACUGUCGAAUGUGGGGCGUUUGUGGGACAUAAAGACAGUUUGGACCUCCAGCACUCCACACCCAAAAAAGCCCCCAGCAGACAGCAAAGCCUGACUGCAGAGGCCAGAUCGCAGGUUCAGGCUGAAAGUCACCGUCACAUCAGAGCAGUCAACUCCUAUGCUGGUUUUACAGAGUUUGACAGAAAACCAGCUUUUCUCCACCCUGACUCCACUCUGACAAAGGAGGACAGGAGCAGAGUGUCAGCUGAAGACACCCCCAUCCACGAGGGUCCCGGGACAGCAGUACUGGAAAGAGUUCAGGUCAAUUCAGCCCAAGGGAGCAGCCUACGAGCCCCUGGAGAAGAUGCACUAAGCGCUAUUGGCUCACCUGUCAAACCCAUGGAAAACUACCAGUACUCAGCUGUGGAGCGCAACAAUUUGAUGAGGCUGUCCCAGAGUAUACCCUUCACCCCCGUGACCCUGAGAGGUGAGCCGGUGACUGUGUACCGUCUAGAGGAGAGUUCCCCCAACACCAUCAACAACAGUAUGUCUUCCUGGGCCCAGUGGGGCCUCUGUGCCAAAGUAGAGUUUCUCAGCCAGGAGGAGAUGGGUGGAGGACUCAGACGGGCCCUCAAGGUGCUCUGCACGUGGUCAGAGUACGACAUCCUGAAGCCAGGACAUCUGUAUAUAGUCAAAUCCUUCCCUCCCGAGGUGGUCCAAACCUGGUGGAGCAUCUACAAGGAGGACACGGUGCUGAACCUUUGUCUCAGGGAAAUUCAGCAACAACGAGCUGCUCAGAAACUGACAUUUGCUUUCAACCAAAUAAGUCCGAAGACUAUUCCUUACUCACCGAGGUUUCUGGAAGUGUUUCUGCUCUACUGUCACUCUGCUGGACAGUGGUUUGCUAUAGAGGAGUUCAUUACCGGAGAGUUCAGGAAGUUCAACAACAACAAUGGAGAGGAGAUCAACCCCACUAACCUGCUGGAGGAAACCAUGCUGGCCUUCAGCCACUGGACCUACGAGUACACCUGUGGAGAGCUGCUGGUACUCGACCUGCAGGGUGUUGGGGAGAUUCUGACGGAUCCAUCCGUCAUGAAGAGCGGUGAGAAGGGAUCAUACAAUAUGAUAUUUGGACCUGCCAACCUGGGGGAUGAUGCCAUUAGGAACUUUUGCUCAAAGCACCGCUGCAACUCCUGCUGUUGGAAACUCAGACUUCCUGCUGACCGGCCACACCCAGAAGAGGAGGAGAUAGUGAGAGAUGAGUGUGAUUCAGCAGUGUCUGGAGCUCCACCUGCUGAGCAUGACAUUUCUCAAACCAGAGCUGCAGGCCCUGCUCGCCCUCCCUCGUACUCAGCACGGACAGGGUAGAACCAGUAGGUUAUUAUUAAAGGAUAUUGUUGUUACAUGGUAAGAAUUUAAGUGGUGCUUCAAACUGAUUACUAGACAGAACACUGCUAUGUUCGCUGUACAGAGCAUGAAGCACUAACUCCUUGAUAACUGUACAACAAACAUGCUAGUGGUCUGUGUGUUCUAACCCUCUCUCUCCCGUGUUUUAGAUCUGUCUACUGCUUAAUAAAAGGUGUCCAUGCCAGAAAAAAAUCUUAAAAACAAAAAAAAAGAUGCUGUUUGAGUUCCUGCAGCCGCUUCCUGUUUGUGGAGACAAUAAGGUGGAGUCCUUCCUCAAGUAGAACAAGAUAAUGAAGAAGGUGAAGUGGAGGACAAGCUCAAAGGUGCAGGCACUGAUGACAACGGUGAAGCUGUACUUCACUAAGACGGUAGAAGAAUUAGCUAACUGUGACGCCAGCAGCACGUUGGCCUCUGUGACACUGAACGUUAGCGACACCUGAGAGGGAGUGAGGGAGAGACGGAGGGAGAGAGAGAGAGACACAGACAGCAGGUCAUUACUGUACCUGCACACAUGACAAGACUACAGGUUGUUCCUGCACCUGUGAUGGAGCCGCUCAUACACAUUCAAGGACAAGAGCCACUCGCUGCCUCCAUGUUAGCUGCAGCUCCACUCAUGGAUCAAUAACAGCUUCUUGGGGAGCGACUGUACCCAAUGAUUCAGGCCCUUCAGCCAAAUUUGGCUGGUAAAAUUACUGGGAUACUGCUGGAGAUUGACAGCUGGGAGCUGCUGUACAUGCUGAAGGCUGCUGAAGAGAUAUUUGAGCUGUUUGAAAGAACGAUAGCAGAGCAGAGCACAUGACUGUGAGUGUUACUGUGAUCUUUUGGUCUGCAUUGGUAAAUUUCACCCUGAUAUUUUAGUCAUUAACUCUACUAAUUCAUGUGAAACCCUGAGUGGCUUGGCAGGGCAAAACAAGGGCAACAGUGGGUGAUUACGGUAAAGGAGCACAAGACAGCAGCACAGCAAGUGGCUGCCUUUGCCCCAUCAGAGGAGGAGAUGCAUGUAAGUUCAUCACAUUUCCUGUCAGAACCUGUCAGAACAUUAACCUUAAUUUUUUCUCCUCUGCCAACAGUGGUUUGAUGUCUCCUACAGACUGGUGCAGCCACAACUCCUGAGACCCACCAGGAAUUGCAAGAGGGAUGUGAAAUGGAAAAAUGUGAUUGUGAUGAUUGUCUUAGUCUUAUUAAAACUGGGAAAAGAAAAUUCUCUGGACGUGCCCCAGCUGUAGCUGAUCAAGCCGUUUUGCGAGGAUCUGGAUCGGUGGCUGAGCGAGGAUGAGCAGCACGUUGCUGUCAUCCACUGCAAAGCAGGAAAAGGUCGAACAGUUGGCCUACCUGCUGCACCGGGGCAAGUUCCAGGAGGCGCUGGGCUUCUACAGAGAGGUCCUGACACGAGACAAGAAGUGUGUGACCAUCCCCAGUCAGCGGCACUGUGUCAUCUACUACAGCUUCCUGCUGAGGAACCAGCUGCUGUACAAACCCAUCGCUCUGCUCUUCCACAAGAUGCUGUUUGAAACCAUCCCCAUGUUUACUGGAGGAACCUGCAACCCUCAGUUCAUGGUGUACCAACACGUCGAACCCGAGAAGACAAGCUGAUGCUGUUUGAGUUCCUGCAGCCACUUCCUGUUUGUGGAGACUUUAAGGUGGAGCCCUGCCACAAGAUGAACAAGAUAAUGAAGAAGGUGAAGUGGAGGACAAGCUCAAAGGUGCAGGCACUGAUGGGAAACCUCCUCAGGCCGCGAUGUGAAGAUAGCAGCAUCAAAUGUUUGGUCGUCUCUCACUUUACAUGCUUCCUCUCCAUUCUGGAGACUCCACUGAGAGAGCAUGGUUUCACUUUCAUGCAUUUGGAUGGCACCAUGAGUCAAAAGGAGAGGACUCGUGUCAUCCAGGAGUUUCAGAGCACUGCAGCAGACAGUCCUGCUAUCAUGCUUCUGUCACUCAAAGCAGGAGGGUGGGGCUUAACUUGACAGCCACCUCACAUGUUUUCCUCAUGGACCUGCAUGGAAUCCUGCUACUGGGGAGCAGUUUAUUAACCGCUGCCGGCUUUUGGGACAGACGAGGAAAGCCGUCGUGACCAAGUUCAUUGUGAAAGACUCAGUAGAGAAAAAGAUGGUGGAGAUCCAUUGCCAUGCAAUUCCAAACGAGUGCUUUGGCAGUAUGUACAGUGUUACCUCAUGCCAAUAAAGCCAGUUGAAUUGAGAGAGAGACUGAGAGACUGGCUGACUCUGUUUCCAGCACUAAGACUGUAUCUGACUGUCCAUCCACACUUGACACCCAGCAGAGGCUGGAUAGUACAAACACUCCCACUGGCCCAGUUGAGUUUUUGAUUUUGUUUACAUUACAUUUUUUGUUUUUUUGCUUUUUUUUUAAAAUGUCACUUUUCAAGUUGUCUAUUUUCCUUUGUACUAAUUAAAAGUUAAGUUACAUGCUAUGAGGAAGUGUAUGCCAUAUGAUUGAUCUUAAUCUGUGAGAAGUUGAGAUAAUGGCAAACAUGGUGUUUUACAGGAGGGCUAAUGUUACGUUAGCUCUGUAAGGGAGCGGAUGCUCUGUAACUUUGCAAGGGUACAUCGCAGAGGGUUACGGCCUUUGACAUGAUUCUGCAAGUGUCAGAGCCAAAAGUUGUUAUGCCAGAAAGUGUUCAGGAGCAUUUUUCUUGCCAUUUGGAGUCGAUUUGGGUUUAUCUUUUAAAUUUAUAUUUGUUGAAAGUGAAAUUGUUGGGUCCGAAAUCACAUAGUGGAGGAUGGACCUUACGUAACCUUAUGUAACCUUACAUAACCUCCGUAUGGUGUGCCUUUUUCCUGCGAGGUCAGGGAGCAGAAUUACAGCCAAUCAAAUUUGUGCAAAAUGUGUGCAUUUCUCUCGCCCCCUUUUAAAGUGUCAAUAAUGAGCUUAAUCUAAAUUACAGACAAAUCUUUCCAAUUUCUUCACACUGGUAUUUAUUUUAUCUUAUCAGUAUUUAUAUGCCACAUAUGCGUUUCUAUAUCAGUACACAGUGUACCAGAGCAUGUGAGCGCAGCUGAGCGGCGAGAAUUUCUGCUCCCUGCUUUCGUGGGUGUUCGCUGCUUUGCUCCAUCGCUCAAAGUUAUACCAGACAGCUCCGCUCAAAGAGUGCUCUCCGCUCACCUAAAAUGUCAUUCAGCUCCGGUGAAAUCGCUCCACGCUCGCUCAAAUUUAAAAGAGGGAGCAAUUCCUGACGUUUUCCACUGAAUUACGGCUGGGACACACUGCCCGAUGUGGCCUAAACUAACAUGCAGCGGCUCUGUUGCUGGAGAGAGCCUGUCGAUUGAAACCCUUUUCAGUUUGUAAAGAACAGUAGAUUGUUUUGGGGUGCUGUGUUCUGUCUGUUUGAGCCAGUGGAUGGCCUUGUACUGCCAUCUAGUGGCCAGUCUUGGAACUGGAGCGAAAAGGAACCAUCGCUCUGGCCUUUGGAUUAAAACCCGCUCUGCGCUCCGACUAUAUUUCGCACGCUCCGCUCACAUGCCCUGCAGUGUACAGUCACAAACUUUUACAUCAGUCUGCAUUGUUUUGUGGUGAAGUGUCUGCUUCAGAUGCUUAAAAACGUGCAUGGUUUGAAAUAAAACAAAUCUACCUACA